GCUACAGCUAAUAGGAGAGAAACAGCAAGGCACAGUAAGGGGAGAAGAGACACAGACUGCCGCUGCACACAUUUGUCUAUAUAUUACUCAUUGUGAAGGAGGAGAAGCAGUGGAUGAAGACAUAUCCAUUUUCUCUGGAGGUAACCUGUGUAAACAUGCUGACACGUUGCUCUGCCUGGUUACAAAGCACCAGAUCUGCAUUCUUGACUGAUCCAGCUUGAUUUUACUCCUGUGAGAAGUAAGAAUGUUGCCUAAAGAAAAGAUGUUGAAUAACAGACAAAGACUCAGUAGGAAUGAGAAAAACAGCACAAAAGGCAGAGCAAUGAAGACCUCAAAUACUGAUACAAGGAGAGUCUACGAGAACAGGCUUUAUCCAGCCUUGAGAAGGCCAAGGCGUGUGUGGAAGAAUCUUCAUGCUACUUACACAAGCAUAACAUGAAAGACUGUCAUGAAGAUGAAGCCUGACUCUUCUUAGAGGUACACACUGGAAUGAUAAAAGGCAACUAGAAAAAUUUGUGGAUGGGAAAUUCUGAACUGAUAUUGUGAGACUGGUCAAACACUGGAACAGGCUGACCAGAGAUGCUGUAGUAUCUCAAUCCUUGAAAAUAAUAGAAACUAGACUGGCCAUGGCAUUGAGCAGUUUGCUCUACCUGGACCUGCAGCUGAUCAGCAGUUGGCCUGGACAACUGUGGACAUCCUGUCCAACCUGCAGGAUUCUGUGACUCUAAAACCAACCUAAACCUAUAAAUACGUUUCUAAGUGCAGUUAAUAGAAAAAGCAAACAUGUCAGCAUGAGUCUGAGAUCCAAUACAUAAAAAUCCUUACUCUUUUGUCACCCUAUUUAAUUGAUUUUUAUCUUUAGCCUAUAGUAUGAAACAAUAAUUUUGUGUGUGUGCGUUCAUACA